rnacentral:rRNA from 1 species
AGUGAACGCUGGCGGUAGGCCUAACACAUGCAAGUCGAACGGCAGCACAGUAAGAGCUUGCUCUUACGGGUGGCGAGUGGCGGACGGGUGAGGAAUACAUCGGAAUCUACUUUUUCGUGGGGGAUAACGUAGGGAAACUUACGCUAAUACCGCAUACGACCUACGGGUGAAAGCAGGGGAUCUUCGGACCUUGCGCGAUUGAAUGAGCCGAUGUCGGAUUAGCUAGUUGGCGGGGUAAAGGCCCACCAAGGCGACGAUCCGUAGCUGGUCUGAGAGGAUGAUCAGCCACACUGGAACUGAGACGCGGUCCAGACUCCUACGGGAGGCAGCAGUGGGGAAUAUUGGACAAUGGGCGCAAGCCUAAUCCAGCCAUACCGCGUGGGUGAAGAAGGCCUUCGGGUUGUAAAGCCCUUUUGUUGGGAAAGAAAAGCAGCAGGUUAAUACCCCGCUGUUCUGACGGUACCCAAAGAAUAAGCACCGGCUAACUUCGUG